rnacentral:rRNA from 1 species
AUUGAACGCUGGCGGCAGGCCUAACACAUGCAAGUCGAGCGGAGCGGCGGACGGGUGAGUAAUGCCUAGGAAUCUGCCUGGUAGUGGGGGAUAACGUCCGGAAACGGGCGCUAAUACCGCAUACUAUCAGAUGAGCCUAGGUCGGAAUAGCUAGUUGGGGGGGUAAAGGCCUACCAAGGCGACGAGCCGUAACUGGUCCGAGAGGAUGAUCAGUCACACGGGAACUGAGACACGGUCCAGACUCCUACGGGAGGCAGCAGUGGGGAAUAGUGGACAAUGGGGGAAAGCCUGAUCCAGCCAUGCCGCGUGUGUGAAGAAGGCCUUCGGGUUGUAAAGCACUUUCAGCGGGGAGGCGUUACCCGCAGAAGAAGCACCGGCUAACUCCGUGCCAGCAGCCGCGGUAAUUC